rnacentral:rRNA from 1 species
AUUGAACGCUGGCGGCAGGCUUAACACAUGCAAGUCGAGCGGGGUGAUGGUGCUUGCACUAUCACUUAGCGGCGGACGGGUGAGUAAUGCUUAGGAAUCUGCCUAUUAGUGGGGGACAACAUCUCGAAAGGGAUGCUAAUACCGCAUACGUCCUACGGGAGAAAGCAGGGGAUCACUUGUGACCUUGCGCUAAUAGAUGAGCCUAAGUCGGAUUAGCUAGUUGGUGGGGUAAAGGCCUACCAAGGCGACGAUCUGUAGCGGGUCUGAGAGGAUGAUCCGUCACACUGGGACUGAGACACGGCCCAGACUCCUACGGGAGGCAGCAGUGGGGAAUAUUGGACAAUGGGGGCAACCCUGAUCCAGCGAUGCCGCGUGGGUGAAGAGGGCCUUCGGGUUGUAAAGCCCUUUAGGUUGGGACGAAGGGUGUGGAGUUAAUACCUCCAUGCUUUGACGGUACCGACAGAAUAAGCACCGGCAAACUCUGUGCCAGCAGCCGCCGUAA